GUGAGUCAUCGAAUCUUUGAACGCACCUUGCGCUCCUUGGUAUUCCGAGGAGCAUGCCUGUUUGAGUGUCAUGGUAUCAUCAACCUUCAACACUUUUGUGUCUGUAGGCUUGGACUUGGAGGUCGUGUCGGCGUUCGCGUCGGCUCCUCUGAAAUGCAUUAGCGUGAAUCUUACGAAUCGCCCUCGGUGUGAUAAUUUCUACGCCGUAGACGUGCAGUAUAUAGUGUUCGUGCUUACAACCGUCUGCAAAGACAACAUCAUUGACAAUCUGACCUCAAAUCAGGUAGGACUACCCGCUGA
rnacentral:misc_RNA from 1 species